GGUUGCGAUCAUACCAGCACUAAUGGACCGGAUCCCAUCAGAACUCCGCAGUUAAGCGUGCUUGGGCGAGAGUAGUACUAGGAUGGGUGACCCCCUGGGAAGUCCUCGUGUUGCAACCC
rnacentral:rRNA from 1 species